rnacentral:rRNA from 1 species
GCUAAGCAGGGUUGGGCCUGGUUAGUACUUGGAUGGGAGACCAUCUAGGAAUACCAAGUGCUAUAGGCA